CAGUAGCCACGGUAAUACGUAGGGUGCGAGCGUUAAUCGGAUUUACUGGGCGUAAAGCGUGCGCAGGCGGCCCGUUAAGACAGGUGUGAAAUCCCUGGGCUCAACCUAGGAAUUGCGCUUGUGACUGGCGGGCUCGAGUACGGUAGAGGGGGGUGGAAUUCCUGGUGUAGCAGUGAAAUGCGUAGAGAUCAGGAGGAACACCGAUGGCGAAGGCAGCCCCCUGGGCCAAUACCGACGCUCAUGCACGAAAGCGUGGGGAGCAAACAGGAUUAGAGACCCCCGUAGUCCCUGUCUCUUAUAC
rnacentral:rRNA from 1 species